UAAGAGAUUAGCCCCCCCCCCCCCCCAAUUAAAUCAUAAACAUUAAUUCUUAUCACAGUAUCAGUGCUCCAUCUAUAGGCCUAACAAAGGGGUGUUGAUAGACUUUUGAUUGGCUGAGCCACCAUCUAUUUGAAAACAAGCGACUUUGAUUGGCUGGAGACAGGAAGUUAUGUUUUGAAAACAAAGGGGGUUUUCAUCAACUGACUUUGAGCUUUAAGGUAUAAUUGAGUAACAUUAAGACUUAUAAUUCUAGUUUAAAAUGUCUUGAAUAACUUUCAGCAUGAAGUAUUGUGUGGUGAAAACAAUGUGUAUGUACUACAAUGUGUAAAUCAACAAUAAGUUUGUUGCAAAGGAGAUUCAAAGUGGAUGGUUAAAGUGAUAUGGUCUCAUAAUUCAUCAACUGCCUGUUAUCUUGGAAUACUGAAGAACAGUUGUUUUAGGUUAAACUCCCAAGGUGAAAUUUACAUUGAUUGGAAGAUUCUUUGGAUAGAAUAUUCCUGCCAAAAGACAGCAGAAGGGGGACUAACUGAUGUAUGGAUUUUGACACCAGAUUUUACCCUGCACGAGCAGCCCAACUUGAGUAGAUCAGGAGUGGGAAAACCGAGCCCUGUCCUUGACCAAGGAAAGUUGGAUUUGUUGAGAGGACCUGAUCUCAAAUGAGAUCAUUCACAAGACGCACCUCGCAAAGGCCAUGACAGUAUAGUUUUCAGACCUGAUC